rnacentral:rRNA from 1 species
ACGUUCUAAAAUAAUGAUAAAACAAGACCGAGCCCGACUGAUCUCAGAAGCAGGGUCAGGCUUGGUUAGUACUUGGAUGGGAGACCACCUAGGAAAACCAGGUGCUGUACGUG